rnacentral:rRNA from 1 species
AGAGUUUGAUCAUGGCUCAGGAUGAACGCUGGCGGCGUGCCUAACACAUGCAAGUCGAGCGAUCUUCUUCGGAAGAGAGCGGCGGACGGGUGAGUAACGCGUGGGUAACCUGCCUCAUACACAUGGAUAACAUACCGAAAGGUAUGCUAAUACAAGAUGAUAUAAGAGAUUCGCAUGGAUUUCUUAUCAAAGCUUUUGCGGUAUGAGAUGGACCCGCGUCUGAUUAGCUAGUCGGUAAGGUAAUGGCUUACCAAGGCGACGAUCAGUAGCCGACCUGAGAGGGUGAUCGGCCACAUUGGAACUGAGACACGGUCCAAACUCCUACGGGAGGCAGCAGUGGGGAAUAUUGCACAAUGGGCGAAAGCCUGAUGCAGCAACGCCGCGUGAGCGAUGAAGGCCUUCGGGUCGUAAAGCUCUGUCCUCAAGGAAGAUAAUGACGGUACUUGAGGAGGAAGCCCCGGCUAACUACGUG